GCUUGAACAUGCAAGUCGUACGAGAAAUCUUCUGCUUGCAGAAGAGAGUACAGUGGCGCACGGGUGAGUAACGCGUGGGUAAUCUACCCUUGAAUCGGGGAUAACUUUGCGAAAGCGAUGCUAAUACCGGAUGACAUCUUUUGAGCCUCGGUUCUCAAGAUCAAAGAUGGCCUCUAUAUAUAAGCUAUCGUUUGAGGAUGAGCCCGCGUACCAUUAGCUUGUUGGUAGGGUAAUAGCCUACCAAGGCCGCGAUGGUUAGCUGGUCUGAGAGGAUGAUCAGCCACACUGGAACUGACACACGGUCCAGACUUCUACGGAGGGCAGCAGUGAGGAAUUUUGUCCAAUGGGGGAAACCCUGAGACAGCAACGCCGCGUGAGUGAUGAAGGCCCUCGGGUCGUAAAGCUCUGUCAAGUGGGAAGAAACUGUUUGAUGUUAAUACCAUCAUACACUGACGGUACCACUGAAGGAAGCACCGGCUAACUCCGUGCCAGCAGCCGCGGUAAGACGGAGGGUGCAAGCGUUAUUCGGAAUUAUUGGGCGUAAAGGGCGCCUAGGCGGUCUCUUAAGUCAGAUGUGAAAGCCCGGGGCUUAACCCCGGAAGUGCAUUUGAAACUAAGGGACUUGAGUAUGGGAGAGGGAAGUGGAAUUCCUGGUGUAGAGGUGAAAUUCGUAGAUAUCAGAGGAACACCGGUGGCGAAGGCGACUUCCUGGACCAAUACUGACGCUGAAGCGCGAAAGUGUGGGGAGCAAACAGGAUUAGAUACCCUGUAGUCCACACAGUAAACGUUGAACACUAGUGUAGCGGUAUUGACCUCUGCUGUGCCGCAGUUAACGCAUUAAGCGUUCCGCCUGGAGUACGAUCGCAGAUUAACUCAAGAUUGACGGGACCCGCACAGCGUGAGCAUGGCUCAUUCGACGCACGCGAAGACUUACUGAUUGACAUCCGAGAAGUCUUUCGAAGUCUGAUGUGCCCUCGGGAA
rnacentral:rRNA from 1 species